rnacentral:rRNA from 1 species
GAUGAACGCUAGCUACAGGCUUAACACAUGCAAGUCGAGGGGUAACGAGAGGAAAGCUUGCUUUCCUUGUCGACGACCGGCGCACGGGUGAGUAACGCGUAUCCAACCUGCCCCCAACUAGGGAAUAACCUUGCGAAAGUAAGACUAAUACCCUAUAAUUUCCUCAGAUGUCAUCUGACGAGGAAUAAAGAUUUAUCGGUUGUGGAUGGGGAUGCGUCUGAUUAGCUUGUUGGCGGGGUAACGGCCCACCAAGGCAACGAUCAGUAGGGGUUCUGAGAGGAAGGUCCCCCACAUUGGGACUGAGAAACGGUCCAAACUCCUACGGGGGGCAGCAGUGAGGAAUAUUGGUCAAUGGGCGGAAGCCUGAACCAGCCAAGUAGCGUGCAGGAUGACGGCCCUAUGGGUUGUAAACUGCUUUUAUACAGGAAUAAAGUUAGCCACGUGUGGUUAUUUGUAGGUACUGUAUGAAUAAGGACCGGCUAAUUCCGUGCCAGCCGCCGCCGUAA